rnacentral:rRNA from 1 species
UGCGUAGGCGGCGUCGUUAGUCAGAAGUGAAAGCUUACAGCUUAACUGUGAAAUUGCUUUUGAUACUGCGGUGCUUGAAUUAGGUUGAGGUUAGCGGAACGUGACAUGUAGCGGUGAAAUGCAUAGAUAUGUCAUAGAACACCAAUUGCGAAGGCAGCUGGCUAGGCCUAUAUUGACGCUAAGGCACGAAAGCGUGGGGAGCAAACAGGAUUAGAUACCCUGGUAGUCC